CCUUAACGGGAGCCGUGCUGGUUUUUUCCGCGGUUAUAAACUCUCUAAAUAUGUUUAUCACCGGGUUAAAACUGGCUCGGAUCUCAAUUAAGAUC
rnacentral:pre_miRNA from 1 species